UACGGGGGGAGCAAGCGUUGUUCGGAUUUACUGGGCGUAAAGGGCUCGUAGGCGGCCAACUAAGUCAGACGUGAAAUCCCUCGGCUUAACCGGGGGAACUGCAUCUGAUACUGGAUGGCUUGAGAUUGGGAGAGGGAUGCGGAAUUCCAGGUGUAGCGGUGAAAUGCGUAGAUAUCUGGAGGAACACCGGUGGCGAAGGCGGCAUCCUGGACCAACACUGACGCUGAGGCGCGAAAGCGUGGGGAGCAAACGGG
rnacentral:rRNA from 1 species